rnacentral:misc_RNA from 1 species
UAAAGAAGGCGUUUAAAAAACAUAUCUGUUUCUUAAACAUAUCUUUUGUUUUUUGUUUUCUUUUGUUUGUCCCGGGGAAGGUUUUUGCCAAUUCACUCCUGAGGGCUUGUAGCUCAGUUGGUUAGAGCGCGCGCUUGAUAAGCGUGAGGUCGGAGGUUCAAGUCCUCCCAGGCCCACCAAUUUAUGAUUCUGAUAAAGUUUGCUGAUAAAGUUUUUGCGAACGUUUUGAUGGUCUUUUAUCUUGCCAUCUUUUACUUUUAUCUUGCUAUCUUUAAAAGUAUUUGAACUGUUUUAGGGGCCGUAGCUCAGCUGGGAGAGCACCUGCUUUGCAAGCA